UACUGAUCUGUUUAUGUUUUUUCCGGCAUAUGUUUUCUGAUUGUUUGGCAACACCGGUGUCAAAUAUGGUUGCUGAAAACAGCAGGAGAAAAAUAUUGCAAAUGAUGUAGUUUUUGUUAAAAUGAGUGCUAAUUUUUGCUUAUUCCUACAAGAAAAAUUGUGCAACGCGUAGUGAAAAGUGCGAAAAAUUGUGCAAGCUUGUCGGCUUUGCCGGAAACCACUUCAGUGCGAAUAAAACACGUAAUGUUUUUGUUGUUUUGAAUUGGGGUCGCGAAACAGAAAAAAAAAUCGCAUCGAAUGUUGAUAGUUCCGGGAAGAGGCAGGAAGAAACAGAAUCCGCAAAGAGCUCCGGCGGUCGAAAUGUCUCCCCUAUGGACGGCAAAGUAUGACUACCAGGCGAAAGGCGACGAUGAACUGUCGCUGCGUGUCGGGCAGAUCGUUUUUGUGCUGUCGAUGGACAGCAUCAUUUCCGGUGACGAGGGUUGGUGGACGGGCAAAAUCGGUGAAAAGGUUGGGAUUUUCCCAUCCAAUUUCGUCACGAAUGAAGAUCCAACAGUGUUGAACGUGCAGCCAUUGGAGAUAAAGUUCGAAGAGCUCGAGUUGAAGGAAGUGAUCGGAGUUGGUGGUUUCAGUAAAGUACACCGUGCCUUUUGGAAUGGCGAAGAGGUGGCCGUGAAGGCCUCCCGCCAGGACGAAGAUAUUGACGGAACACGGGAGAAUGUGUUAAAGGAGGCAAAACUGUUCUGGUCGUUGAAGCAUCCGAAUAUUGUCGAGCUGAAAGGGGUGUGCCUGGAACAACCAAUUCUUUGCCUGGUGAUGGAAUAUGCACGAGGCGGUUCGCUCAAUAAGAUCCUGGCAGGAAGGAAGAUUCCACCGGAUGUUCUGGUGGACUGGGCUGUUCAAAUUGCCAGAGGAAUGAAGUAUUUGCACUGUGAGGCACCUAUCUCGGUCAUUCACAGGGACUUGAAAAGCUCCAAUGUGCUCAUCUGUGAUGCCAUAAUGAGUGGCCAUUUGAAAAAUAAAACCCUCAAAAUAACAGAUUUCGGCCUCGCCCGUGAAGCAUACAUUACAACAAGAAUGUCUGCGGCCGGUACAUUCGCAUGGAUGCCACCGGAAGUCAUCAAGUCGGGUACAUAUUCGAAAGCCUCAGACGUUUGGAGCUACGGUGUGUUGCUGUGGGAAUUGCUCACCGGCGAAACGCCUUAUAAAGGAUUUGAUACUCUGUCGGUUGCGUAUGGAGUAGCCGUCAACACACUCGCACUACCGAUUCCGAAGACUUGCCCAGAAGCAUGGGGAAAGCUAAUGAAGUCCUGCUGGGAAUUGGAUCCGCAUCGGCGACCCUCGUUUAGGGAUAUCGAGAAAGAUUUAGACACUAUCGCACGGUCAGGAUUCGCGCAAACACCACACGAGUCGUUCCACACGAUGCAGGACGGCUGGAAGAGGGAGAUUGCUGAAGUCCUCCAGGAGCUGCGUAGAAAAGAGAAGGAACUACGCUCCAAAGAGGAAGAACUCAGCAGGGUACAGCAAGAGCAGCAAUUCAGGGAGGAGGAUCUCGCCAAACGGAAGCAAGAGUUGGACGCUCGCGAAAUCGAACUGCUGGGACGUGAGCUGAAAAUUAUCAUCACUCAGAACACACCUACACCUAAGAAACGUAAAGGAAAAUUUAGCAAAAGUAAAUUAAGGUUAUUGAAACGUGAACCGGGUCACAUUUCGUUUCCGCUCGAUUUUCGUCACACGAUAACGGUGCAACCGACCGCCAUUCGGGACGAAACUCGACAGCGCACCGAUACUCCUCCCGGUUCUCCUGCCACCACCCGACUGAGGGCAAUUGCACUUCCGGCCGAUGGCAUGAAAGGUAAAACCUGGGGGCCAUCGACGCUGCACCAGCGCGAGCGAAGUAACUUGCCGGCGCUCAGAUCGACGGUUCGGACACCGCAUUUCAGUAAGAGUGCCCCGAACUUGGACAAAUCCCGCUCGGCGAUCUCCGCCAGUUCGUCGCGUAACGAGAUAUUAGAUUACGACACUGAUGAAUGGUUCCCAUCCAAUCUUAAUGUCGCCGGUGAUAGCACGUCACUGAGUACUCCGCUUUGCACUAGCCUGACAAGGUUUAAUGGACUUCCGAGCACUAUCCCGAUGCCGACGCUUUAUUCUUCCGAGGGGCAGCGCAAACCAAAGCUAUCGAUAAUAGAAUUAGUGUUGUAUAAUAUUGCUUCAAUGUUGGCGGGUGUCGCCUCCGGGUAUGAUGUGCGAAUAUCGAAUGUAACGCCCCUACAUCCUCGAUUACACCCGCCGUCGGCGCUCAACGAUGUCUAUCAGCCUCAGCCUAGUCCUUACCACAACCUGCGUCAACUGCAGCAGCCACAAUUAUCGCUGCCCCCGAAUCUAGAUAGCAAAAUAGACCAAGAGUAUACCGAAGUACAUAACGAGAGAAUGUACGCUCACAACACUUAUCACGGACCAGUGAAGCAUAACAGGACGCCCCUAUCUUCGCUUAGCCCCCGCCAAGACGAUCGACCGCUACGUUUCACGGAUUCGCCCCAACACUACAUGCCGUCGACAAUGUCCACCACCAGUGGGCUAGGGUCCAACUAUACUCCCUCUGGGCCUAGCUCGUCGCUGAGUGGUGGCGUUAGUGGUACUCAACCACCGACGCCUUCGCCCCGACGUAAAUCCAGCGUCGCUUCCUUCAUUGACUAUGGAGAUCUGCCGGAGGAACAGGAGAGUAGAGCUGGUCUCUACGUGCCUGGUGACUAUGUAAAUUAUCCGUACCAAGGCAGCAACAUGGUCACGACUGGGGCAAACGCAGGAUACUUUGGGUCGCACUACUUUCCAUACCGACCUGAAAUCAAUUUUGUUUACGAACGUGACACAAAGUCCUAUGGAGGGGAGCCAGUGUAUGAGGAUCACCACUACGACAGUGCUUCUUAUCAUGAUUACGCUUACGAAGGGGCGGUACAGCAACGGUUCAAUGCGCCGCGUGUUCCUGCUAUGGGCGUAAGUGCCGCUGGCCAUCGGCGAACGUUGUCAAACGUUUCCACGACUGCCAGCAAUAUCAAUCAAGGGUUUCAUCUGGAUCAGGAUGAUGACAUUGAAGUGGUUGAUGAUACCAUUUAUAAUCUAAGCCAAUUCUACAUUAGCAACAAUUCGAAUGCAGUUAAAGUGCCCGAAACUAGUUACGUUCCUAAUCGUAUUCGUGAGUAUGAAAACAUUCCAAACUACUUUAAGAGGCAAACUAGUCUGAACGCUGGUUAUCCGGGUCACUUUUCUAAUGAAUUUAUAAAUAUCACAAAUCACGAGCGACCUAUGAGCCUAGGCCUAGAGCAUGGUGAAACGCAAUCUUCUGGGGCUGGCUCCCAAGUGAAACUGCGAUCUAGCAUGAAGAAAUACAACUCGCAGCAACAACAACAACAUCAGAAGAAAUAUAGCACCGGCUCAAGUGGAAGCUGUGGUACGCCGGGAACGACAAAUCACACUCCUCCUGAGAGUCUAACCAGUGACGAUAGUUCAUAUUUAAGUGCGAAAGAUAAUUCCUCUUCGAUGUCGUCGCAAAGUAGGGUUCGUUUCACGCCGGAAAUCCUUCUGGAUAUGCAACAACCACUGCAGCACCAACAGCAGCUUACUUCCCAGCAGAUACAAAGUAGCCAAAAUUUAGCACUCGAGCACGGACCGCACGUCCCUCUCGGACGGCGGUCGUCAAGUGGCACAGUUCCGGUAGCGCCUUCAAGCAGCAUCCCUCUCGGCAGCAGACGUCGCUCGAAUACAAGUGAGUCCGAACAAUCCUAGCGUUACGUUAAAACCUAUAUGGUGUAACUUUCAAUUUGCCUCAUGGUGCACUUAUUGACCUGCGCACUUUUUAUUGCACCGAUGGACUCGUGUGGGGGUGAUAAGAAGAUUAAGAGAUCAAAGAUGGAUAUUUUUUUUAGUCGCAGAUAUUAUGGGAAAGUGAUUACGUGUUUGAUUUCGUUUAUGGCAGUAUUCAGCAGAAAAAAAGUAACAUUUAUACUCAUCUGACAUACAAUAUCAGUUGCCGUUAAGACGCCAUUAUCACCGACCAAAAUAAAUUACGAGGUUUACCAAGUGGUCUCAGCAUUAACAGAUGUGCAACCAAAACGAACCUAAACUGCAAAUGCACGGAGGAGCAGAAACUGUACAGAAUGGCCUGUAAAUAACCCAGGUACGAGUAUUUAGCGCUUUGAAUCAAUUUAGUACGUUGCUUCGGUAUAUUGAAGUUUGCAACGGAUUCUCCCUUACAAAACUACAUUGCAUAUAGAGGGAAAAUACGACAGUAGGAGAGAAACCAGCUCUUAUUCGGAUUUAUUGCAAUUUGUCGACUUAUAGUUAGCGCCCCAUAUAACAACACAUACCCACAUAUAAUACUCUGCAAACAUUCCUACAUGUGUUUUACGAAAAGGCCACUGCACCGAGCGCAGAGAACGAAUGAAGCAAGUCGUUUGUAAUUAGUUUUAUCCAAUUAAAUUCGAUUGUAUUAUACAGCAUUAAGCGGCGAGGAGUGGUCGGCGCUAUGAGCUUUAGAAGCAUAAAAGGAUAAGGUGGAAGGUUAAUGAAACAAAAAGGCACUUAUUCUAGUCGUUUAAGAUUUGAUAGUAGUAUUUUGAGUUUUUAAUUAAUUUAUAUUUAUUACCUUCAGAAGAGCUAGCGCAGACAAAGUUUUAUAUAGCAUUUAUAUUGAUUUCCCAUUGCUCCAGCAAAGUGAAUAAAAAAGGCAAUGAACGGAAAGAGGCACGGUUAGGAAAAAAAUCUACCACACGUUAUCGAAAGGUACGUCCCCUCAUGAGCGAUUCCAAGCAACAGCAUCAAAAUUUAAGAAAAUUUUUAAUUCAUGAUUUUCUAUUGAGUUGAAACUUUGCACAGUUUUUCAAUUUCAUCUAAAUCGUCAUUUUUCGAUAUCAAAUCUUCAUAUUGAGUCACGACUAACUUUUCAAAAGGGUGUAUGU